rnacentral:RNase_P_RNA from 1 species
GUAGGGGCGCCACCGCCCCCCACCAUUUUUUUGGGGAAUAAAGAAGUAAUAAAAAAUUAAGUUUUUGAAUUAAGGUAUUUAUUGAGAAGUGGGUUUAUUAAACAAAGAAUGGUGGGGGGAGGAAGGUCCGGACACCUUCCCCCAGAUGUACAUCUGGGGGAAACGCUCCGGGUAACGCCCGGCCACCGUGAGGUGAGGGGUGCGAACAGAGACGCUCCAAGGGGUAACCCUUGGGGGUCCCCCCAGAUAUACAUCUGGGGGGAUAGCCUCCCUAUAAGCAAAUUUUUGCAAAGGGGAGGGUGAAACGGCUAAAUCCCUGCGGGGUGCAAGUGCGAGAGAAAUUGGGGUGUUGCCUCCGAUUUCUCUGAGCACGCUUGAGCCAGGGAGAAAUCUCUGGCCCAGACAGAUGGUGGCGUAGAAACAGAAUCCGGCCUACUACCUACUUUU